UACGGGGGGGGCAAGCGUUGUUCGGAAUUACUGGGCGUAAAGGGCUCGUAGGUGGCCAACUAAGUCGGACGUGAAAUCCCUCAGCUUAACUGUGGAACUGCGUCCGAUACUGGAUGGCUUGAGUUUGGGAGAGGGAUGCGGAAUUCCAGGUGUAGCGGUGAAAUGCGUAGAUAUCUGGAGGAACACCGGUGGCGAAGGCGGCAUCCUGGACCAACACUGACACUGAGGAGCGAAAGCCAGGGGAGCAAACGGG
rnacentral:rRNA from 1 species